CUACAGCAUGCCAUCCUCUUUGGAAACACACGCCACACAAAGACCUCAACCGAAGUCUGGUUUUUCUUAGAAAUAUUAGGGGUAUAUAUGUGUGUGUGUGUGUGUGUGUGUGUGUGUGUGUGUGUGUGUGUGUGUGUGUGUGUGUGUGGUGGGCAUGAGUUAGUCAAACAGAUUUUGGAUUUUGUAACAAAGCAGCAGCAGGUGGACUUGGGCACAGAGACAGAAGCAGAGUGUGUCAGUGCUGUACAGCUCUCAGCAGGAAGAUGAGCUCCAUCAAGAUAUGUUCCUAUUUUGUCAUUGUGACAGUGUUGUUGUGUGUAACCAGUUUGGUUGUAGCAGAUCCAGUGGGCCGGAUCCCCCGUCAGACAGCAGCCAGACAACAAGGGGGCGUCGUUCUUUUUUUCGUUUCCUUCCAGGGUAUCCUGAGAGAAAUCGAGUUCAACCCAAUCAUCUUCAAUCAGGUGUUGGUGAACCAGGGCUCCGCCUACAACAAUGACACAGGUGUGUUCACGGCACCGGUCGCUGGAAUCUACCAGUUCGUGUUUGCUGCUCAGCUCUGCCGCGGAGACCACAACAACUUGUGGAUCUUCAUGCUCAAGGGCUCCAAGGACAUGGCCUGCCAUGCUCAGGUUUCUGGUGGUGACACAACCCUGAACACCUGCUACCUCAUGGAGGAACUGAAGAAAGGUGACCAGGUGUGGGUAAAGCAGAAUGUGGGGAGUUGCGCCUGGGCCAGCACUCACUCCAAAACCAUCACCUUCUCUGGCGUCCUGUUGGCAAGUGAGGGUGUGUCCAUGCUUGGGGGGAAGUAUGGCUCCUGUCCACUGGCCAGCCUGAGCCACAAAAGGGAGAUGGUGUCCGGCUCUACAAGCCAGAGUGCCGCUUGGUCUAAUGUGGCCAUCACUCUGCUGCUCUGCUGUCUCCUCUGGGAUUAA
rnacentral:lncRNA from 15 species